rnacentral:rRNA from 1 species
UACGGGGGGGGCAAGCGUUGUUCGGAAUUACUGGGCGUAAAGGGCUCGUAGGUGGCCAACUAAGUCAGACGUGAAAUCCCUCGGCUUAACCGGGGAACUGCGCAUGAUACUGGAUGGCUUGAGUUUGGGAGAGGGAUGCGGAAUUCCAGGUGUAGCGGUGAAAUGCGUAGAUAUCUGGAGGAACACCGGUGGCGAAGGCGGGUCUCUGGGCCGUAACUGACGCUGAGGAGCGAAAGCGUGGGGAGCGAACAGG